rnacentral:rRNA from 1 species
ACGGGGAGCAGCAGGCGCGAAAACUUUGCAAUGUGCGAAAGCACGACAAGGUUAAUCCGAGUGAUUUCUGCUAAAGAAAUCUUUUGCUAGUCCUAGAAACACUAGUGAAUAAGGGGUGGGCAAGUUCUGGUGUCAGCCGCCGCGGUAAAACCAGCACCCCAAGUGGUCAGGAUGAUUAUUGGGCCUAAAGCAUCCGUAGCUCGUUUUGUAAGUUUUCGGUUAAAUCCAUACGCUUAACGUAUGGGCUGCCGGGAAUACUGCAUAACUAGGAAGUGGGAGAGGUAGACGGUACUCGGUAGGAAGGGGUAAAAUCCUUUGAUCUAUUGAUGACCACCUGUGGCGAAGGCGGUCUACCAUAACACCUUCGACGGUGAGGGAUGAAAGCUGGGGGAGCAAACCGGAUUAAAUACCCGGGUAGUCCCAGCUGUAAACUAUGCUCGCUAGGUGUCAGGCAUGGCGCGACCGUGUCUGGUGCCGCAGGGAAGCCGUGAAGCGAGCCACCUGGGAAGUACGGCCGCAAGGCUGAAACUUAAAGGAAUUGGCGGGGGAGCAC